CCUACGGGAGGCAGCAGUGGGGAAUAUUGCACAAUGGGGGAAACCCUGAUGCAGCGACGCCGCGUGAGUGAUGAAGUACUUCGUUAUGUAAAGCUCUAUCAGCAGGGAAGAAAAUGCCGGUACCUGAGUAAGAAGCCACGGCUAACUACGUGCCAGCAGCCGCGGUCAUACGUCGGGGGCAAGCGUUCUCCGGAUGUACGGGGUGUAAAGGGAGCGUAGACGGCAGUGCAAGUCUGGAGUGAAAGGCGGGGGGUCAACCCCCGGACUGCUCUGGAAACUGUACGGCUGGAGUGCAGGAGAGGUAAGUGGAAUUCCUAGUGUAGCGGUGAAAUGCGUAGAUAUUAGGAGGAACACCAGUGGCGAAGGCGGCUUACUGGACUGUAACUGACGUUGAGGCUCGAAAGCGUGGGGAGCAAACAGGAUUAGAUACCCGGGUAGUC
rnacentral:rRNA from 1 species